rnacentral:rRNA from 1 species
UACGUAGGGUGCGAGCGUUAAUCGGAAUUACUGGGCGUAAAGGGUGCGCAGGCGGUCUCGUAAGCUGGGUGUGAAAGCCCCGGGCUUAACCUGGGAAUGGCAUUCAGGACUGCGAGGCUUUAAGUGUGGCAGAGGGAGGUGGAAUUCCACGUGUAGCAGUGAAAUGCGUAGAGAUGUGGAGGAACACCGAUGGCGAAGGCAGCCUCCUGGGCCAGCACUGACGCUCAUGCACGAAAGCGUGGGGAGCAAACAGG